rnacentral:rRNA from 1 species
UACGUAGGGUGCGAGCGUUAAUCGGAAUUACUGGGCGUAAAGCGUGCGCAGGCGGUUCGUUAAGUUCGUUGUGAAAGCCCCGGGCUCAACCUGGGAAUGGCAAUGGAAACUGGCGAGCUUGAGUGUGGCAGAGGGGGGUGGAAUUCCGCGUGUAGCAGUGAAAUGCGUAGAGAUGCGGAGGAACACCGAUGGCGAAGGCAGCCCCCUGGGCUGACACUGACGCUCAGGCACGAAAGCGUGGGGAGCAAGCAGG